rnacentral:tRNA from 1 species
AGCAUAGCUCAGCGGUAGAGCAGCGCAUUCGUAAUGCGCAGGUCAAGGGUUCAAAUCCCUUCGCU